rnacentral:rRNA from 1 species
AACGAACGCUGGCGGCAGGCUUAACACAUGCAAGUCGAACGCCCCGCAAGGGGAGUGGCAGACGGGUGAGUAACGCGUGGGAAUCUACCGUACCCUACUGAACAACAGUUGGAAACGACUGCUAAUACCGUAUACGCCCUACGGGGGAAAGAUUUAUCGGGGUAUGAUGAGCCCGCGUUGGAUUAGCUAGUUGGUGGGGUAAAGGCCUACCAAGGCGACGAUCCAUAGCUGGUCUGAGAGGAUGAUCAGCCACAUUGGGACUGAGACACGGCCCAAACUCCUACGGGAGGCAGCAGUGGGGAAUAUUGGACAAUGGGCGCAAGCCUGAUCCAGCCAUGCCGCGUGAGUGAUGAAGGUCUUAGGAUUGUAAAGCUCUUUCACCGAUGAAGAUAAUGACGGUACCCACAGAAAAAGCCCCGGCUAACUUCGUGCCAGCCGCCGCCGUAA